GAUGAACGCUAGCGGCAGGCCUAAUACAUGCAAGCCGGACGGCAAGUUGAGUAGCAAUACUUGACUUAGAGUGGCGUAAGGGUGCGUAACACGUAUGCAAUCUGCCCACAGCCGGGAGAUAGCCCUCCGAAAGGAGGAUUAAUAUCCCAUAGGAAGAUGAAAUGGCAUCAUUUUAUUUUAAACUACGGGGCUGUGGAUGAGCAUGCGGUUGAUUAGCUAGUUGGCGGGUAAAGGCCCACCAAGGCGAUGAUCAAUAGGGGACCUGAGAGGGUGAUCCCCCACACUGGCACUGAGAUACGGGCCAGACUCCUACGGGAGGCAGCAGUAGGGAAUAUUGGACAAUGGGUGUAAGCCUGAUCCAGCAAUGCCGCGUGAGUGAUGAAGGCCCUAGGGUUGUAAAGCUCUUUUACCAGGGAUGAUAAUGACAGUACCUGGAGAAUAAGCUCCGGCUAACUCCGUGCCAGCAGCCGCGGUAAU
rnacentral:rRNA from 1 species